rnacentral:rRNA from 1 species
UCCGGUGAUAAUGGCUGAGGGGAUCCACCUGUUCCCAUACCGAACACAGAAGUUAAGCCCUCACGCGUCGAAAGUACUUGGCUGGCAACGGCCUGGGAGGAUAGAUCAUCGCCGGAU